AUUGAACGCUAACGGCGUGCUUAACACAUGCAAGUCGAGCGGCAGCAUGACUGUAGCAAUACAGUUGAUGGCGAGCGGCGGACGGGUGAGUAAUGCAUAGGAAUCUGCCUUGUAGUGGGGAUAACCCGGGGAAACUCGGGCUAAUACCGCAUAAUCUCUACGGAGCAAAGUGGGGGAUCGUAAGACCUCACGCUAAAAGAUGAGCCUAUGUUGGAUUAGCUAGUUGGUGAGGUAAUGGCUCACCAAGGCGACGAUCCAUAGCUGGUCUGAGAGGAUGAUCAGCCACACUGGGACUGAGACACGGCCCAGACUCCUACGGGAGGCAGCAGUGGGGAAUAUUGGACAAUGGGCGAAAGCCUGAUCCAGCAACGCCGUGUGUGUGAAGAAGGCCUUCGGGUUGUAAAGCACUUUUAGUUGGGAAGAAAAGCUCAUGGGUAAUAUCCAUGAGUGCUGACGUUACCAACAGAAAAAGCACUGGCUAACUCUGUGCCAGCCGCCGCCGUAA
rnacentral:rRNA from 1 species